rnacentral:lncRNA from 1 species
UUAAUCUUCAAUACCGCUUUGUACUUACGAUCUUGUAUCCACUGACUGUCUUGUUAGAUUAACCCAAUAAACUUCAUUCACUCCGCAUACUCAAUCCUAUAGACACCCUUUUAAUCCUUCAAUCAUAGACGUAACUCGAUUUCACAAAACAGUCAAGAGUAUUCAAACCCACUUCAUUUAAAAAUCCCGAUUCAUUAUUACAACACUGACUUCAG